UCCUUGCCUUCUGCCGUAAUUGUGAGGCCUCCUCAGCCACGUGGAACUGCUUAUAGGCAGAAGAGACUUGCCUUGUCUCAGAUGAAACUUUGGACUGUGGGCUUUUGACUUAAUGCUGAAAUUAGGUCCUGCACAGUUCAAUAUUAAAUGGAGUUUCUACCCUAGCAUGAAAGGAGGAAGAGAGAAAAUCGGCUCCAAGAGAAAUUCGGCUCCAACAUUCCCCGAAUAUUAGAGUGGUUAUGUUGAACAUGUAAAUAUUCUCCCUGCUGUGAGUAUUACUGCAGCUGGCCAAAGAUGCUUUAUUUUAAAGAUGUGGAUGCAGGAAGUUAAAAGCAUCAGAAACACUGCAUGGGAAAAUCAUUCGAACUGUAGCUUCCUGGUUUUAGACAUCCCCGUGGGCAAUUGGGACAUCUAUUUUGGAGAUGUAAUUGAAAAGACUGAAGAAUGCACUGAGGACCUUCUGGCUGAUAGAAGCUGACAAAGAAGCCAAGAUAGUUUGGUCAAGAUUUCUGCAAUACCUGAGUUUCUAAUCACAACAACAAAAAUGACAUUUAUUUCCAAGAUAGUUUGGUCAAGAUUUCUGCAAUACCUGAGUUUCUAAUCACAACAACAAAAAUGACCUGGAUAGAAAACCUUGGAGAUAGUACUUGAUGGGCAUCACGUAGCUGGUUGCUGGCAGAAACACUGAAGCAGAACUUGUAAUAUCUUCAAAACAAAUGAAGGCCAGGAAUCAGAAAUUCUUCUGAAGGUCAGCUGCCUCUCCAGCCAUCCAUGAAGAGCUAUGGUUCUGAAUCCUGGCUAAUAUCAGAAUCAUCCUGGGAGCUUUUGAAAAUCCUGAUGCUCAAGUCACACUCCAUACUCAAACAAGAAGCUGAGUCUCAGAGAGAGAAAAUGACUCAUCCAAGCAAGGUUUGAGACCUAAGAAAGGUUGUGUAAGUAGAAGCUGGAAGACCCUUGAAAAGAGCAUUCAUUCAAGAAAUGAAGCAUGAAAUAGGAUGGCAGGAGGGAAGAAAGACAAGCACAUGGCAUGUCAGGUCUCUUCCAAUGCUAAAGGCUGCCUGUGAUACUCAUCUGACCUGAUUUCUACUGCACAGUGUUGCAACUGACGAGUAGCAGACUUGCCCUUGCCUGCAUUUGGGGGGAUGGCUGAGAUUUUCCUUAUAGAAAGCCCUACUUCCAGCAUGAACACUAACCCAGUUUAUUGGCUCAGGGUAUAGAGAGUUGCCGUGUUACUGGCGAAGUCAGAUGCAGCCAGUACAAGAUCUCUGCACUAGCUGUGAACACUAAGGAAGAAUAGCUAAGUGAGGAAGCAGAGUGCCAGGCAGCACAUCCUUCUUCAGGUGUUUCCUGCCCUGGGCCAGAUCCCAGGCACUGUAGCAAUAUCUCUGCAUGAUCUAGGGCUGCUGGAAAUAGCCCAUUAAGGGCAAAACUCACUGCCCAGAAAACAUUAGAACAUUAAAAGAGCAGGGUCUCAUCUGAUUGUCUUGGUUUCACUGAGGCUCAUUCAGUCUGUGUCCACUGGUUUCAGUCUGAGUUCUCUGCACUUUGAGGAUGCAGACAGUGAAGUUCUCUCAGGGUUAUAGGGGGAGAGAUCAUAGGAAUGCUAUGGAAAGAGGCCUGAAGUCAGAGCCAGCUAGUGGUUAUUAUUUAUUAAUUGCCUGUGAGGUGCCAGGCGCACAUAUUAGACCAUAUGUGAUUGCAGUGAGCCACCCGGAUCCCCUUCAAGCUGUUGCUGCAGUUGUUGGAAGUCCUAUUGGCAGACAGCCUUCUCUCAUCAGCCCCUUCAGGACUUGCCUCAGCUGCAGACAGCUGCCUUCCCCAAGAUCACACCCUUCCCUGGGGACUCACAACCAAUGGUUGAUCCAGAAGAAACUAUAAAGCCUGUAUCAUUUCAGCCCAAUUUAGGACAGCUUCAUUGAGCCAUUGGACCCACAUGCAGCCCAACCUCUCCUUCUACCCACUUCUUCUUUCUUCCCUUUCCUUCCACGGUGUCUGUUCCAAGCACUUGCCUUAAUAAACAUGUAACAGGUUAAA
rnacentral:lncRNA from 1 species